rnacentral:rRNA from 1 species
UACGAAGGGGGCUAGCGUUGUUCGGAAUUACUGGGCGUAAAGCGUGCGCAGGCGGCUUCUCAAGUCAGGGGUGAAAGCCCAGAGCUCAACUCUGGAAUUGCCUUUGAGACUGAGUGGCUUGAGUACGGGAGAGGUGAGUGGAAUUCCCAGUGUAGAGGUGAAAUUCGUAGAUAUCGGGAGGAACACCUGUGGCGAAAGCGGCUCACUGGACCAUAACUGACGCUGAUGCACGAAAGCUGGGGGAGCAAACAGG